rnacentral:misc_RNA from 1 species
GAGUUGAACACUGUGAAGUGUAAUAGCUACUGGGCAAAUGGCCUCGUCUGUUGCUCUUCAUCAGCUCGCUCACUGCUUCUUCAUCUACUCCCAGUCUGCUUUAUGGUCUGCAAGACCCAGAUACUCAAUCACCAGAAACAGAGGAAGCAGCAGCACUAAUAAUCUUAUCAGACCCAUCAAAGCUUCUUUAGUGGAAAUACCUCCGUUUCCUCUCUUUCAACCUCCCAAAGUAGAGGAAUCUCCGUCUGAGUUGGAACCAGCAGACCCUGAUUUCUACAAGAUAGGUUAUGUUCGAAGUAUGCGUGCUUAUGGAGUUGAGUUUAAGGAAGGGCCAGAUGGAUUUGGAGUCUAUGCUUCUAAGGAUGUUGAACCACUUCGCCGUGCCA